rnacentral:rRNA from 1 species
CGCGAAAACUUUGCGAUAAGCGAAAGCUUGACAGGGUUAUUCUGAGUGAUUUCCGCUAAGGAAAUCUUUUGGCACCUCUAAAAAUGGUGCAGAAUAAGGGGUGGGCAAGCCUGGUGUCAGCCGCCGCGGUAAUACCAGCACCCCGAGUGGUCGGGACGAUUAUUGGGCCUAAAGCAUCCGUAGCCGGUUCUACAAGUCUUCCGUUAAAUCCACCUGCUUAACAGAUGGGCUGCGGAGGAUACUAUGGAGCUAGGAGGCGGGAGAGGCAAGCGGUACUUAGUGGGUAGGGGUAAAAUCCGUUGAUCCAUUGAAGACCACCAGUGGCGAAGGCGGCUUGCCAGAACGCACUCGACGGUGAGGGAUGAAAGCUGGGGGAGCAAACCGGAUUAGAUACCCGGGUAGUCCCAGCUGUAAACGAUGCAGACUCGGUGAUGAAUAGGCUUCGUGCCUAUUCAGUGCCGCAGGGAAGCCGUUAAGUCUGCCGCCUGGGGAGUACGGUCGCAAGACUGAAACUUAA